GGAUGAAGAAGAGGAGGAGAAGUGGUUGUGGUGGAGCGGCGCUGCCCGAAGCGCAGAGCCGCUCUCUGGGCUGCCGGGGCACUGCUCCAGGAGGAGCCUGCGGGCAGGGGCAGGCGGGGGAAGCGCCAGGGCAGCUUUCCUAGAGUGUCAUCUACAAUGGAGCUGUGAUGGAAGUGCUCUGGGAUUGUACUGCAGUCAGGAUCAGCAAUACUUCAGGCUGCUGCAGUGUUGUGCUUCUUAAUGCAAGGAUGUAUUUUCCAGAUAUGGAACACCUUUACUCUAUGCUGUAAUGCACAGAAAUACCACUAAGCAUGUAAACAGCUUUAACGGAAUUGCCUGGAUUUGGGGUGUUUGUUCUGAGGACGUGUCCAACGCCUUGGGCAAUGUGUGUAUUUGUCCCUGUCCUGACUUACUGAUAAGUCCUCUCAACCUUCACCUAAUUUCUGGCUUUGGAACAAACAGACAGCUUAAUAUUUCUGAGAGGAGAUUGUAUAUCUAGGGGCAGCAGCCAUGAUGUGUCCUAAGAGCAGGGGAAUCAUCGAGGAGGCAGCUUGCAGCACCAGGGAGGUCACUCUGGGUAAUAAAAAGACCUGGGAAGAAAAAUGCAGCCCAAACCUGCUGAGAGUUUGGAACUGCUUGUCUGUGUUUGCUUCUAGAGUUAUGAGACCACAAUGGCUACUCAACCUUGCAAUGCUGUGGGCAGGAUUUUAUGAGGAUGGGAGGUGGUCUGGAGCCCUUCUUGUGCUUGGUCCCUGUGCAUGGAGCUGCAUGUCAGUGAUGUGUCUCUGAUAAUCUGGCACCAGCUGGCCGGAAACCUUAGGCAGAAGCAUUGGGGUGGGAUUUAGGUUGCCCAAACACAUUACAAUGUGCCAAUUCCACCAUGAAGAAACGGCCCUGGCAUUAUUUGCAACAGGCAAAGCCAGUGGUAAAAUUCAGUGGCUGGUAAAAAUGCUACUGGCGUGGUUAGACAUGGGGUACAGUGUUGCUGAGAGGAAAAAAUAGAGUUGAAUUUUAUUAGUGAAAAUUUUAAUUGAAAUUUUUAAAACAGAAAAACAUGCAGAAAAAAAAUCCUCAAAUUCUUCCAUUUUGAUCCAUUCCCACCAAUACAAGAGAGGCUUCAGUGGGCAUGGAUCAAGAUGCAGACAAAAUAAUGUUCCUCUCAAACAGAAGCAAGCAAGAUUUUAAUUUCAACUUAACUACAUCAUUAUUCAUAAGAAGAGUUAAAACACCCUAAAAUACUUUUGGUACAGCCAGCUUACUUCAUGUCUGGCACUAACAAGGAGCCAAACAAGGUAAGAAAAGCCCUUCCAACAUGCACAGGAGAACUGCUCAUAAUGUUCUACUAGGAAGGGAAACUUAAGGGGGAGAUAAACAAAACUCUCUCCUCAGACACAGCAUCUGAGAAACCAUGAGCAAGAAGAGAACUGGGCUUGAAGAGAACUGUUGCUACAACCUAACAGAGAAGCUGGGGUGACACAAAAAAUUAAAUGCAUUCCCAUCCACUAGAAAGGAUUUCAAGUUACAGGUCAGAAACAAAGCCCUCUACUCUGAUGUCCCAAUCCCUGGAGAAGGUGAUGUGACUACAGACUCACAGUUUUCAUCCACAAAGGCAGCUCUCAGUUCAGCAUCAGAGGCAGCUGCCUGGGCAGGGUGAAGCUGAAGCAUUGCCCUGGGAAAAGCAGGACCAUCAAGACACUGUUCCCUGUCCAUGUCUUUCCUGUGUGCAUCUUCUAGCUGGGUGGCACGUGAUGGGGAGGAGGAGGAAGGACUCUUUUUGUGCUUAAAUUCAUCACUUUGAUGAAGCUGAGGGAGUGAGUCAUGUGUCCUUCAGCACCAUAAAUAGCAUCGCACUUUCUUCCUGUGAUCACCUGUGAAAAUUCGGCUCCCAUGUCCUUCAGGACAAAUUUACAGUAUGGGGCAAAGGUUGGAGGCAACAAUGUCUGGGUCUUUAAGCCGUCCAGACUUUAACUCCUGUGGUUCUCAUGUUUAUCAACCCUUGGUCACCUUGGGUUGAUAAUGGAUUGCUGGGAAAUAACUGAAUAUUCUUCUAAAGGUGAUGAGUUCUUUUCCCCCCGUGUAUUGCUGAUUUGUACUGUCAACCAUAACCUGCUAUGGAGCAAGACCUUUUAAAGUCCAUGCUUCAGCAACAAUGACUCACAAGCUGAUACAGAUCAGAUAAGCUGCAUCCUCAGUGCAGAACCAGUCCUAUUCUGUGCCCUGCAGAGCUGUAUCUGUCACAGUUUCAUAGACUUGGUGCUUCUUUUUGACCUCUGCCUGCAUUUCACACCUACUGGGGCACAAUAGGAAAACCAGGCAAGGAUGGAUGUCUCGGACAGUGCAGGCAUGAUCUGCAGUGAUCUGCAGUAAAUGUUCAUCUUCCAACAGAACUUCACUCUGCAAACAGCACAAGUCAUCCAUGACAAAGGAUUUAGAUGCAGGGCCGGUAGAAGCUGAGCUCAGGAUGUCAGCCUGGGUCAAACAUCACUAAUAUUAGAUGCUAAAAUCUACAACAGUAAAUUGUAUCAGUUUCCCAAGGGGAGAGAUAACCUAAGUACUUAAUCUCUUAUUACAUGUACUUAUUUUAUUGCAGGAUAACAAAGCACCAUGUUGACCUCCCAUACUACCACAGGGCAGUAAUUAAUAGCACAGUCAUUUAUAAAGUACUUGAUACAUAUUACUGUGCCUUUUUUGUUUUCCUAUCCACAUCUCCUCAAUCCCACUGUCCAUUGGUAGGUUGUUUUCCACUGGUACUUGUGUCAGGAAUGCAGAGGUGAAAAAUUGCACAAAGGCUGCAGCUACCAGGGUAGUCCCACUCCUGCACACCCAGGAUAGCAGUUUUGCUGGAAGGGUUCAUACAAACAUUCCAGUUAACUUUUCCCACCAAGAGUUUAUGAUAUGGGUUUUUUUGGCCCAAGCUAAUUAAUUGGUAUUCAGACAUACACUAAAUAAACCCAUCUUAAAACUCUAUCAUAGUAUAAUAAAUACCCUUCAAGUUGUCACAUAGCAUUUUUAAUUAGAGUGUGUGCUAUCACUGUGUAGAACAUGCAGCCUGCAAAAUUGUCUGGCCAUAAAAGCAGAUUUGCCAAGCUCCAAAAUGUUAACAAACCACCUUCCACUAAAAGCAGUGGUAAGAAGCCAUUCCAAUGCACUGGGAGCUCAGCAGCUGUCCGCAUGAGUGUCACAAGCAAGACACAGAGAAGCUCUAGCAGUGACCAAACCCCACCUGACUGUAGUAGUUUUCAUGUUUCAUUUUCCAUGGCAAUUUUCUUUCUCUUGAACUGCAGAUGCAGUAAGACUCUUGGAACCACACCAUGCCUUACCAGGGAAAAAAUCCAUUGCCUCUUACAAAAAAAAAAAAAUCCUACACAAGACUUAAGUGUGAAGACUGUUUUCACAAUUGGCUUUUCCAUGAACUAGGGUGUUCCUGAUUGACAGGUUUUUCUGUAAAAACAAAGCUGAAAUUUUUUCUUUCAGUUAUAUACCUCCAUGUCUAGUUUACCUGAAAUCAUCAUGGCAGGGGCAACUAAUCAAUUUAUAUUAAUAAAGCUGAGUAAUACAGGA